AACGAACGCUGGCGGCGCGCCUAAUACAUGCAAGUCGAGCGAGAAGACGUAGCAAUACGUUUGUAAAGCGGCGAACGGGUGAGGAAUACAUGGGUAACCUACCCUCGAGUGGGGAAUAACUAGCCGAAAGGUUAGCUAAUACCGCGUACGCUCCUUGGACUUCGGUUCAGGGAGGAAAGCGAUACCGUGGGUAUCGCGCUCUUGGAUGGGCUCAUGUCCUAUCAGCUUGUUGGUGAGGAACGGCUCACCAAGGCUUCGACGGGUAGCUGGUCUGAGAGGACGAUCAGCCACACUGGCACUGCGACACGGGCCAGACUCCUACGGGAGCAGCAGUAAGGAAUAUUGCGCAAUGGGCGAAAGCCUGACGCAGCGACGCCGCGUGGGGA
rnacentral:rRNA from 1 species